GGCUCAGUGGUCUAGUGGUAUGAUUCGCGCUUCGGGAAUUGUCCCUUACCUACCUAAAAAGAGGUGAAAAUGUGCGAGGUCCCGGGUUCAAAUCCCGGCUGAGCCC